rnacentral:rRNA from 1 species
GGACCAAGGAGUCUAGCAUGUGCGCGAGUCAUUGGGACUCUAACGAAACCUAAAGGCGUAAUGAAAGUGAAGGCCCGCCUAGCGCGGGCCGAGGGAGGAUGGGUGCCCCGUGGGGCGCCCCGCACUCCCAGGGCGUCUCGUUCUCAUUGCGAGAAGAGGCGCACCAAGAGCGUACACGCUGGGACCCGAAAGAUGGUGAACUAUGCCUGGUCAGGACGAAGUCAGGGGAAACCCUGAUGGAGGUCCGUAGCGAUUCUGACGUGCAAAUCGAUCGUCGGAACUGGGUAUAGGGGCGAAAGACUAAUCGAACCAUCUAGUAGCUGGUUCCCUCCGAAGUUUCCCUCAGGAUAGCUGGCGCUCGCUUCUCGCGAGUCUCAUUCGGUAAAGCGAAUGAUUAGAGGCAUUGGGGUCGAAACGGCCUCAACCUAUUCUCAAACUUUAAAUGGGUGAGAUCUCCGGCUUGCUUGAACUGUGAAGCCGCGAGAUAUCGGAUCAGAGUGCCAAGUGGGCCACUUUUGGUAAGCAGAACUGGCGCUGUGGGAUGAACCAAACGCUGAGUUAAAGCGCCUAAAUCGACGCUUAUGGGAUACCAUGAAAGGCGUUGGUAACUUAAGACAGCAGGACGGUGGCCAUGGAAGUCGGA